rnacentral:rRNA from 1 species
GACGAACGCUGGCGGCGUGCUUAACACAUGCAAGUCGAACGAAGAGCGAUGGAAGCUUGCUUCUAUCAAUCUUAGUGGCGAACGGGUGAGUAACGCGUAAUCAACCUGCCCUUCAGAGGGGGACAACAGUUGGAAACGACUGCUAAUACCGCAUACGAUCUAAUCUCGGCAUCGAGGAUAGAUGAAAGGUGGCCUCUACAUGUAAGCUAUCACUGAAGGAGGGGAUUGCGUCUGAUUAGCUAGUUGGAGGGGUAACGGCCCACCAAGGCGAUGAUCAGUAGCCGGUCUGAGAGGAUGAACGGCCACAUUGGGACUGAGACACGGCCCGGACUCCUACGGGAGGCAGCAGUGGGGAAUCUUCCGCAAUGGACGAAAGUCUGACGGAGCAACGCCGCGUGAGUGAUGACGGCCUUCGGGUUGUAAAGCUCUGUUAAUCGGGACGAAAGGCCUUCUUGCGAAUAGUGAGAAGGAUUGACGGUACCGGAAGAGAAAGCCACGGCUAACUACGUG